rnacentral:misc_RNA from 1 species
GAUGAAGAACGUAGCGAAAUGCGAUAAGUUGUGUGAAUUGCAGAAUUCAGUGAAUCAUCGAAUCUUUGAACGCACAUUGCGCCCCUUGGUAUCCCGAGGGGCAUGCCUGUUCGAGCGUCAUUUCACCACUCAAGCCUGGCUUGGUGUUGGGCGACGUCCUCUUUGGGGACGCGCCUCGAAACGCUCGGCGGCGUGGCACCGGCUUUAAGCGUAGCAGAAUCUUUCGCUUUGGAAGUCGGGGCCCCGUCUGCCGGAAGACCUGCUCGCAAGGUUGACCUCGGAUCAGGCAGGGAUACCCGCUGAACUUAAGCAUAUCAAUAAGCGGAGGA